UCUUGGUUACUUUGGGAUCCUAAUACCAACGUUUGAGUCUUGCCUGCUUCUCCUUCCGAGAGUCCCCUUCUCUGGGCCUCCCUAGGUUUCCCCGGCUCACCUGUACAUUGUAGAUAUUAAUAGCAUUUGUCUUGUGGAUGACUGUCAGCAUAUGAACAGGUCUGGCUUCUUCUCAUCUGGGGCCUGCACGGUUUCUGAAUUCAGUAUGGAUAGCUAUUAGAAAUAUGUUUGACUAAGCUAUGACUGGGUGUCGGGCUCUGCAAUGGGCUCUGGUGACAUCUGAGUGAUGAAAUCUCCCAAAUGCUCUGUUUCAGGGCCACGGUCAAAAUAGUCUUUACAGCGUGGGUGAGAAAUGUCGCAUCCCAUAGUCAGGUGACAUCAAUAAGGCAGGGAGGAAAUGGUGGCAAAUAAGAGCAUGCCGAGGACCUGGGGCUCACCUGACUUCUGUCACACUAACCCUAACUCUGGAGCAAUUACUUUAAUGGCCACUGACUGAUGGGGCAAGUGGCUGCUGGGCACACGUUUUGGUGACCUGGAGCUCGGUCUUCUUCAGAAUGUCACCUUCAGCUCUUCUUCCAGCCUUGGGGAUCGGUUUGUGCCACCUGCAGAGGGCUGAUUCCAAAUGAAGUCACAGAAAACGCUCAUCUGACAGGACGCUGCUCCGUGUCUGUUUCCGAGGCACCUCGUCAUAUUCCUACCCGGCACUGUCUUCUGGAGCCCUGUGCCUGUUUUCUAUAGCGUUGACAUUAAUGUGCCCGCAGCAGAGGGUCCUGGACCAUAAGGUCCCUUCUAUUUCUCGUACCAGAUGACUGGUGGGAGGAAGGUGAAGGGCCAAGUGGAGAUGUGACCUCAUUUUACAGCAGGGGCUGAUGCACUGGGCAUGAUUUCUGGAACCAGACAGACAUGGACUGAAACUCUGGCUCUGUAGCCACUCAUAGCUGGGUAAUCUCAGAGAAGAUUCAUCUUCUCUCUGGACCUGAGUAGCCUAAUUUCUGCAGCAGGUGCAAGGGUCUGCUUCUAGGGCCAGGUGUGGUUGUACAUACCUGCAAUCCCAGCACUUGGGAGGCACAGGCAGGAGGAUCAAGGAUUCAAGGUCACCUUUGCUUAUCUAGUGAAUCUGAGCCUGCCUGGGGCGUAUGUGACCCUGUCACAAACAACAGAAAACCACUCUUCCUUGUGGAUCCACAAAAUGUCACAAAUAUGCCCAGAGCUGACACAUGGACUGGAUGCCAAGAACACUUCCCAGUGGUGGUUCCCUUCUCUCCUCCUCCUCCUCCUCCUUUCCUGUCCUCUCCUGCUCCCUGCCCUACCCCGCUGCCCUGCUGUGGCUCUCUUGCCUAGAUGCUGAGAGAAGUUUUCGGAACCUGGGUGGGACUCUGCCCUUGCACCCCUCUCCUGAGUGCCAGGGCUGCUAAGGAAGGGUGUGGGCAUAAAUUACGCCCAUCUGUUCGAUCCCUGCUGGGGGAGAAGAGAAGGUGAACACACAGGCCUUAGUGGAUGUUCUAUUUUUCUUUGGAACUCCGUAGGAACAAUGGAAAGGAAGAAUGUGAUCUCCAUACGAAGUCCACCCCACCCUGCCUCCUGUAGCCUGCCCCCUUCCAGGGAUGGCAGAUAUCGAGAGCUCUGUGGGCCCUGCCUGUUGGGGAACAGAGGGCACAUCUCAUACCAGCCCAGGAGGAACUCGUGAAGCUCACGGGCAUUUCCAGAUAGGAGACCAAAGAGUUCAUUCUUGUCUUUGCAACAGGGACCCAGGAAAAGGUCACAGCCAGGCCAGGUUUGUACAACCUUAAAAGAACGGGGCUAAUUCCAAAGGCACAGGUUCAGCUCAUGGCUGCUUGUUUUGAGAGACACAUCGCCAGUGUGAACCCCUUCCCUGCACACUGUUGAAUCUUGUGAUUGUCCCCUCCCAUAGUUGACACUCAGUCACUUGAGACAAGUAUAUCUUCGGUUAUACCACCCACCAGGUGGUAGAUAACAGCUGUUUUCUAGCUCUCCUGGACAUGUGUGUUGUCUUUGAUAUGACUGUGUGCUCUGAAAAUCCUCCAAGGAAGCCUUGCCUGUGCCCACUUAAGCCCUAGCUUAGAUGUUGGUGUCUCCUUUUCUUCACCCUAGAAUCUCGGGGUCCCCAUUGUCUGUACAUUGCCCUGUGGCUUGUGGAGGGCUGGGAAGGGGACAAAGACAGGUUCUGUGUUGAUCUGUGGCAUGAGGAAACAGUACAUCUUUCUCAAGCAGACUGUCCUCUGAUGGUGUUGAUCCCCAGCUCCCAGAGGCUGAGUCCCUGUCUCCGCCUGCCUCCUUACUUAGCUUUAUGCCCUCCCACAGGCAAGCUCCUUUUCCCCCUCCGAGUCUCAGCUUCCUCAUCUGUGAAAUGGGGCCAAGACAGAGCAUGCUCAAAAGCUGUUGUGAGCAUCAGAUAGGACAAGAUGUGUGAAGCAUUUAGAAAGCCCAGAUCCUGUCACUAACCUUGCAGUGGAGCUGUUCGUUGUGAUGGUCCGCACUAGCACUUUGCACACUUGGCCUUAUAGGCAAAUAAUCUGGAAAGAGUCUCCUGUCCCCCAUGCCUUUGUUCUUCUCCCCUCUCUCCCCAUCUCUUCCUUGCCUGUCCCCUCUCUUCCCCCUUCCCAUCGUGUGGAUGAGGAAGCUUGAGGUCAGAGAGGUUAGAUGGUUGCACAAGAUCACACAGCUAAGUAGGGGAAAAUACCUCAUUUGUUAUCACAUUAGAAGGGCCAGCAGAGGCCGGGUGGUGGUGGCACGAGCCUUUAAUCCCAGCACUCUGACACCAUUGGGGGAGGGGGACAGGUGCCUGGUGCCCUGAGACCAAUCCGGGGAGAUUGAAUGCUGUGUGGUCUGCACUCACAGCCUGGCUCAUGACAAAUUCAUGACAGUUUUGAUCUUGGCAGCAAUAACAUUUCUUGGGCAGCUGUCUCCCAUGCUGUUAUUAUUUCUAGAUCACCCACCACUGAAAAUCCGAUUGCUGUUACUUUCUGUCCACACAGGAGCACCCUGGGAAGGCCGUUCGCUUCCUCUGAUACUCUAGCUCCAGGCUCAGUGGGCCUAAGGAGUGGCAGGACACUUUGGGUCUCCAUGCAUUCAUUUGCAAAAUGGGAUAAAGGAAGAGUCUUUCCUGUUUCCUUCUCUGGGAUGGAAUACAUCAGAGGGGUCUAGGAGUAUAAAUGGGGGUGUGUGUGUGUUAUGCUAUCAUAACCACAUAGAAUUCAUUAUCAUGACCAUUACUGGCCUUGGGCAGGCUAUACACAGCUAACUCCAGGGGCCAUCAGAGGAAGUGGGCCAGGGUGGUAGAGGCAUUGAGAAGAACUGUAUCUGAAUAUUUGCUGAGUAGCCUCUGUGCCUCGCUUGCCCUUUUCUGCAUCGUCUCAUAUCAACAAAACCAUGAUCCUAUGAAGGAGGUGUUUGUGCCUCAAAUGGUGGCCUCCAGCAAAAGUCCUAACCCCUAAACUGGAGAACAUGGCCUCAUUUGUAAAAAGGUCUUUGUAGAUGACAUUAAAGUAAGGAUCAUUAAAAUGUCGGUUUAUUUUGUUUUUUAAUUAAGUAUUGAUGUGUGUCUGUGUAUGAGUAUGUGAACAGGAG